GUGGGGAAUAUUGGACAAUGGGCGCAAGCCUGAUCCAGCCAUACCGCGUGGGUGAAGAAGGCCUUCGGGUUGUAAAGCCCUUUUGUUGGGAAAGAAAUCCUGUCGGUUAAUACCUGGCGGGGAUGACGGUACCCAAAGAAUAAGCACCGGCUAACUUCGUGCCAGCAGCCGCGGUAAUACGAAGGGUGCAAGCGUUACUCGGAAUUACUGGGCGUAAAGCGUGCGUAGGUGGUGGUUUAAGUCCGUUGUGAAAGCCCUGGGCUCAACCUGGGCAUUGCAGUGGAUACUGGAUCACUAGAGUGUGGUAGAGGGAUGCGGAAUUUCUGGUGUAGCAGUGAAAUGCGUAGAGAUCAGAAGGAACAUCCGUGGCGAAGGCGGCAUCCUGGGCCAACACUGACACUGAGGCACGAAAGCGUGGGGAGCAAACAGGAUUAGAAACCCGGGUAGUCC
rnacentral:rRNA from 1 species